rnacentral:rRNA from 1 species
GGGUAACGCUGGCGGCGUGCCUAAACAUGCAAGUCGAACGGGUGUCUUUCGGGGCACCAGUGGCAGACGGCUGAGUAACACGUGGGUGACGUGCCUGUAGGUGGGGAAUAACUGCCCGAAAGGGUGGCUAAUUCCGCAUACGCCCGUAGAUUCGGUUCUAUGGGGAAAGCAGCAAUGCGCCGAUGGAGCGGCCCGCGACCGAUUAGCUAGUUGGUGGGGAACGGCCUACCAAGGCGACGACGGUAGCUGGUCUCAGAGGAUGAUCAGCCAGACUGGGACUGAGACACGGCCCAGACUCCUACGGGAGGCAGCAGUGGGGAAUAUUGGACAAUGGGGGCAACCCUGAUCCAGCAAUGCCGCGUGUGUGAAGAAGGCCUUCGGUUGUAAG